rnacentral:rRNA from 1 species
CCUACGGGUGGCAGCAGUGGGGAAUAUUGCACAAUGGGGGAAACCCUGAUGCAGCGACGCCGCGUGAGUGAAGAAGCGUUUCGGCGCGUAAAGCUCUGUCAGCGGGGAAGAAACACGGUUCGCGAGAGCCGCGGACGGUACCCGACCAAGAAGCCCCGGCUAACUACGUGCCAGCAGCCGCGGUAAUACGGAGGAUGCGAGCGUUAUCCGGAUUUAUUGGGUUUAAAGGGUGCGUAGGCGGUUUUUUAAGUUAGUGGUUAAACGUCGGGGCUUCACCUUGAUUUGCCAUUAAUACUGUAAGACUCGAGUUCAGACGAGGUAGGCGGAAUAAGUUAAGUAGCGGUGAAAUGCUUAGAUAUAACUUAGAACUCCGAUAGCGAAGGCAGCUUACCAGACUGCGACUGACGCUGAAGCACGAGAGCGUGGGUAGCGAACAGGAUUAGAUACCCGGGUAGUC